GACGAACGCUGGCGGCGUGCUUAACACAUGCAAGUCGAACGGAAAGGCCUGCUUUCCCUUGUGGAUUGCGGGUACUCGCGUGGCGGACGGGUGAGUAACACGUGAGUGAUCUGCCCCCAACUUGGGUAUAAGCCUGGGAAACUGGGUCUAAUUCCCGAUAGGACUGCAGGGUGGUGCCUGUGGUGGCAGACGAUUUUUUGGCGGUUGGGGAUGAGCUCGCGGCCUAUCAGCUUGUUGGUGGGGUAGUGGCCUACCGAGGCGGUGACGGGUAGGCGGCCGGGGCAGUGGGACGGCGACACUGGGCCUGAGAUUACGCCAAGAAGCAGUGGGGAGGAAGGCGUGAGGAACGUAGGCCUGUGGCCGCAAGGCUGCGGCAGGGAUGCCGGGUGUGGGAUGGCGGCCUCCUGGUGGCAGAGAGGAAGCGACCGGGACGGAGGGGUGGUGACGGUAGUGGGAGAAGAAGCACCGGCUAACUACGUG
rnacentral:rRNA from 1 species